rnacentral:rRNA from 1 species
UAGGGAAUAUUGGGCAAUGGAGGGAACUCUGACCCAGCCAUGCCGCGUGCAGGAUGAAGGCGUUAUGCGUUGUAAACUGCUUUUAUAUAGGAAGAAAUAGUCCUUGCGAGGAAAGUUGACGGUACUAUAUGAAUAAGCACCGGCUAACUCCGUGCCAGCAGCCGCGGUAAUACGGAGGGUGCAAGCGUUGUCCGGAUUUAUUGGGUUUAAAGGGUGCGUAGGCGGUUUAUUAAGUCAGUGGUGAAAGACGGUCGCUCAACGAUUGCAGUGCCAUUGAUACUGGUAGACUUGAGUAUGAUUGAGGUAGCUGGAAUGGAUAGUGUAGCGGUGAAAUGCAUAGAUAUUAUCCAGAACACCAAUUGCGUAGGCAAGUUACUAAGUCAUAACUGACGCUGAGGCACGAAAGUGUGGGUAUCAAACAGGAUUAGAUACCCCAGUAGUCCCUGAGCGGGCUGGCAAGGCG